UACAAGUCUUUUCUCCAAAGGAAUGAACUUCUCCUGAAAUCAAGCCCAGAGCAUUCCAGGAAGAAAAAACAACAUCUGUAGAGAUGCUGAGACAAGAACAAACAUGGCGUGUGCGGGGAGCUUGCAAGUCGUUCAGCAUGACUUAAGUGAAAUGGAAAGUUCUGAGAAGAGUAAGCUGUCGAACUAGAAAGGAAAUUUGGACACAGACAGCUACAGAGGGAAGACCACGUGAGGACACAGGGAGAAGGUGGCCGUCUACAAGCCAAGGAGAGAGACUGCAGGAGAAACCAACCCUGCCAACACCCUGAUCUCGAACUUCCAGCCUCGAGAACUG
rnacentral:lncRNA from 1 species